AUGCUUCCUUCAGCAGCACAUACACUGAAGUCAUAAUGGAGCAGAGUAUAUUUGCAUGGGCCUUGAACAAGGAUAACACGAAAAUUCCUGAAGCAUUCCAUAUGUUU
ensembl:snRNA U6 U6 spliceosomal RNA